UUCCAGACUCCUACGGGAGGCAGCAGUGGGGAAUAUUGCACAAUGGGGGAAACCCUGAUGCAGCAACGCCGCGUGAGUGAAGAAGUAUUUCGGUAUGUAAAGCUCUAUCAGCAGGGAAGAAGAAAGACGGUACCUGACUAAGAAGCCCCGGCUAACUACGUGCCAGCAGCCGCGGUAAUACGUAGGGGGCAAGCGUUAUCCGGAUUUACUGGGUGUAAAGGGGGCGCAGACGGCGAUGCAAGCCAGGAGUGAAAGCCCGGGGCCCAACCCCGGGACUGCUCUUGGAACUGCGUGGCUGGAGUGCAGGAGGGGCAGGCGGAAUUCCUGGUGUAGCGGUGAAAUGCGUAGAUAUCAGGAGGAACACCGGUGGCGAAGGCGGCCUGCUGGACUGCAACUGACGUUGAGGCCCGAAAGCGUGGGGAGCAAACAGGAUUAGAUACCCGUGUA
rnacentral:rRNA from 1 species